UCGAGGGGCAGCGGUGGUGAAGGCUUGCCUUUACCAGCCGGCGACCGGCGCACGGGUGAGUAACACGUAUGCAACCUGCCUGCCACAGCCGGAUAAUCGGGAGAAAUUCCGUCUAAUACGGCAUAAUGCACCUAUGGGACAUCCUGUUGGUGCCAAAGGUUAAUUCCGGUGGCGGAUGGGCAUGCGUCGCAUUAGUUAGUUGGCGGUGUAACGGACCACCAAGACGACGAUGCGUAGGGGUUCUGAGAGGAAGGUCCCCCACACUGGUACUGAGACACGGACCAGACUCCUACGGGAGGCAGCAGUGAGGAAUAUUGGUCAAUGGCCGUAAGGCUGAACCAGCCAAGUAGCGUGAGGGAAGACUGCCCUAUGGGUUGUAAACCUCUUUUAUGCGGGGAUAAAGGUGUCCACGUGUGGAUGUUUGCAGGUACCGCAUGAAUAAGGACCGGCUAAUUCCGUGCCAGCAGCCGCGGUAAUACGGAAGGUCCGGGCGUUAUCCGGAUUUAUUGGGUUUAAAGGGAGCGUAGGCCGGUCUUUAAGCGUGCCGUGAAAUUUUGUGGCUCAACCAUGAGAGUGCGGCGCGAACUGGAGACCUUGAGUGCGCGGAAGGCAGGCGGAAUUCGUGGUGUAGCGGUGAAAUGCUUAGAUAUCACGAAGAACCCCGAUUGCGAAGGCAGCCUGCCGCAGCGUUACUGACGCUGAAGCUCGAAAGCGCGGGUAUCGAACAGGAUUAGAUACCCUGGUAGUCCGCGCGGUAAACGAUGGAUGCCCGCUGUCGGCGAUAUACAGUCGGCGGCCAAGCGAAAGCGUUAGGCAUCC
rnacentral:rRNA from 1 species